rnacentral:rRNA from 1 species
GAUCAGGCUCAGGACGAACGCUGGCGGCGCGCCUAACACAUGCAAGUCGAACGAGAGAGAAGGAGCUUGCUUCUUCGAUCGAGUGGCGAACGGGUGAGUAACGCGUGAGGAACCUGCCUCAAAGAGGGGGACAACAGUUGGAAACGACUGCUAAUACCGCAUAAGCCCACGGGUCGGCAUCGACCUGAGGGAAAAGGAGCAAUCCGCUUUGAGAUGGCCUCGCGUCCGAUUAGCUAGUUGG